GUGCUCAUCGUAGCAGCACAUACUACUAAUAUGGAACAAUAUAGAGAAUAUUAACAUGCCUCCUGCUCAAAGAUGACACACAAAUUUAUAAAUUGUCCCCAAUGAAA